CUUGCUUCACCACUUAAUAGUGCUUCGGACUCAUCGGAAGACUUGUCCAUGGAGACAUUAGUGAACUCAGCCAGAGCUAAAGAAAACAAUGGUGCCGAUGGAUCAUCCCAGAAAAACUUUCUAGAUGUUUCUCACUGUGAUAUUCGAACCAGGGGACCGUAGAAUGAGCUAACAUUCUUGCAAAGUAUUAGCCUCCAAUCACAGAUGGACAAAGUACACUAGGUGCCUCUCAGAAGCCUGAACUAGCCUCACCAGCUAUCCAUGGCGGGCAACUCAGUAAGGAAACAAUGGAAGGCGGGAUGAAGUUACAUAGUGAGUACAGGCCCUAAUGAACAUGCAGUUCAGUAUUGAUGGAUUUUGAGGAGGAGUCUGUUCAUUGAGCUUUUGGAGAUGAUGAUGUUAGGCUGCAAAAUCGACAUAUAAAAUAAAUGAGAUUUUAUGAAGUGUAUUGCAGAUUAACAGCGGACAUUAUUUAAUAAUCAGAGAUAGA